UCUGAUGACUUUUUCAUUGA
rnacentral:miRNA from 1 species